CUAAAGGCUUUCCUUAAAGCCACGAAGGAAAAAUGAUUGAAAAAUGU
rfam:Equus caballus chromosome 28, whole genome shotgun sequence.